rnacentral:rRNA from 1 species
GGUUAAGCGACUAAGCGUACACGGUGGAUGCCCUGGCAGUCAGAGGCGAUGAAGGGCGUACUAAUCUGCGAUAAGCGCCGGUAAGGUGAUAUGAACCGUUAUAACCGGCGAUACCCGAAUGGGGAAACCCAGUGUGAUUCGUCACACUAUCAUUAACUGAAUCCAUAGGUUAAUGAGGCGAACCGGGGGAACUGAAACAUCUAAGUACCCCGAGGAAAAGAAAUCAACCGAGAUUCCCCCAGUAGCGGCGAGCGAACGGGGAGGAGCCCAGAGCCUGAAUCAGCAUGUGUGUUAGUGGAAGCGUCUGGAAAGGCGCGCGAUACAGGGUGACAGCCCCGUACACAAAAGCGCAUGUGCUGUGAGCUCGAUGAGUAGGGCGGGACACGUGGUAUCCUGUCUGAAUAUGGGGGGACCAUCCUCCAAGGCUAAAUACUCCUGACUGACCGAUAGUGAACCAGUACCGUGAGGGAAAGGCGAAAAGAACCCCGGCGAGGGGAGUGAAAAAGAACCUGAAACCGUGUACGUACAAGCAGUGGGAGCACCCUUUGGGUGUGACUGCGUACCUUUUGUAUAAUGGGUCAGCGACUUAUAUUCUGUAGCAAGGUUAACCGAAUAGGGGAGCCGGAGGGAAACCGAGUCUUAACCGGGCGUUAAGUUGCAGGGUAUAGACCCGAAACCCGGUGAUCUAGCCAUGGGCAGGUUGAAGG